rnacentral:rRNA from 1 species
AUUGAACGCUGGCGGCAGGCCUAACACAUGCAAGUCGAACGAGUGGCGGACGGGUGAGUAAUGUCUGGGAAACUGCCUGAUGGAGGGGGAUAACUACUGGAAACGGUAGCUAAUACCGCAUACCAUCAGAUGUGCCCAGAUUGGAUUAGAUAGUUGGUGGGGUAACGGCUCACCAAGGCGACGAUCCCUGGCUGGUCUGAGAGGAUGAAGGGCCAAUCUGGAACUGGGACACGGUCCUGACUCCUACGGGAGUCAGCAUGGGGGAAUAUUGCACAAGGGGCACAAGCCUGAUGCAGCCAUGCGGGGUGUAUGAAGAAGGCCUUCGGGUUGUAAAGUACUUUCAGCGGGGAGGCGUUACCCGAAGAAGAAGCACCGGCUAACUCCGUGCCAGCAGCCGCGGUAAUAC